rnacentral:rRNA from 1 species
AGCAGCCGCGGUAAUUCCAGCUCCAAUAGCGUAUAUUAAAGUUGUUGCAGUUAAAAAGCUCGUAGUUGAAUUUCGGGGUUAGCAGGUCGGUCGUGCCAUUGGUAUGAACUGGUCUCGCUGAUCCCUCCCUCUUGACGAACUGUGAUGCCAUUAAUUUGGUGUCGCAGGGAAUCAGGACUGUUACUUUGAAAAAUUAGAGUGUUUAAAGCAGGCUCACGCUUGAAUACAUUAGCAUGGAAUAAUGAAAUAGGACGUUUGAUCCUAUUUUGUUGGCUUCUAGGGUUGACGUAAUGAUUAAUAGGGAUAGUUGGGGCAUUAGUAUUCAAUUGUCAGAGGUGAAAUUCUUGGAUUUAUUGAAGACUAAACUACUGCGAAAGCAUUUGCCAAGGAUAGUUUUCAUUAAUCAAGAACGAAAGUUAGGGGAUCGAAGACGAUCAGAUACCGUCGUAGUCUUAAAACCAUAAACCUAUAGCCGACUAGGGAUCGGAUGAUGUUAAUUUUUUAAAUG